rnacentral:lncRNA from 1 species
CUCGAAAUGGUUCACACGUUCGGCACAUGACUCGUAAGUGAUGGACUUUGGUCUCGAGAAAAUCUAAAUAUACCCCUUCUCGCAUCUCAAUUUCAAAAUAAUCGAUUGUGUCGUCUAGCCCAGCAGUCUGCUCUUCUGGCUGGACUGGGACUGGGACUGGGGCUGCGACUGCCAUCGCGACUGCAGUGGGUCCAGGGUCCAAGUUCUCAAUCCAUCUUGUUCAAUAUCGUUCAUGGCUCGCCCUUACUCCUCUUCAUUUCAAUUGUUUUAUAUUGUACAAAAUUCAUGGAAAGUUUCCCCAGUGUACUGAUUAAAGAGCCUCGCUUCGACAGAGUUUUUAAUUAAUUUCAAACACCACAUGCGAGUACACCACAUUUUUUGCUGCUUUCAAUUACAGAUAUCUUUUGCGCCCGGACCAGGAUUCACGCUCUGACCGCAUGUCUGUUGACCACCAUUGGGACAGCACCUGUACGGCCAAAAGCCCAAAAAUUCGACCGCCUGGUCAUUCCGAUGAUUCAUCCAAUAUUAAUAGCUUUUGCGAUGCGUGUGUAUCUCUUUAGCGCUCUUUGAUCGGCUAUCAUCGAGCGAUAUGUUGUGAAAUCAAAUGUGCGAUAAUUGCUUGGACAUUAUUCUCUCCAGGGCUGGACGAGGAAUGAAAAAAUCACACAUUUGCUAUUGAAUAUAACAAUUAAUAGCAUAAUUUCCCAGGGCUAUCCUAGAUGCAUUCAGUUAAAACGAAGUUCGAUCGGUAGCUAAUUAUGAUGCUGCGCCGAAUCUCAAUCUAAGCGAAAUUUGUAGCUGACAUAAUUAAAAAAUCGUAUUUGCUACACAGAAGAUCCGUUCUAGUAGAUAGUCCUAGAGAACUUUAGCCAUUAAUUAAGUUCCGAGAAGACAGUUCUUUGAUGAAUGUGCGCUCCAAUAAUUAUAUUUUUUAGAAAUUAAAUUUCUUUGUUUUGCGCUUAAUUAUAAAAUCGAAAGUCGUGGGUGUUAUCAAUGGUUAUCAGAAAGUAUAUGUAGAUGUAGAUGUGUGCUUAUUAUGUCUGGCUACUUUCCGGUUGUCAACAAGAAAUCCU